rnacentral:rRNA from 1 species
GCUGAUGCCGGGCCAGUGGCCGUGGUGAUACGGAGGGUUGAAUGGUUCUCCGGAUUUAUUGGGUUUAAAAGUGCCGUAGGAGGACCUGUAAGUCAGUGGUGACAGCCUACAGCUUAACUGUAGAACUGCCGUUUAUACAGUCGGUCUUGAGUGUGGUUGAGGUAGCUGGAAUGAGUAGUGUAGCGGUGAAAUGCAUAGAUAUUACUCAGAACACCAAUUGCGAAGGCAGGUUACCAAGUCACAACUGACGCUGAUGGACGAAAGCGUGGGGAGCGAACAGGAUUAGAUACCCGAGUAGUC